ACGAGACAACCAGGUUAAGGGAGGUUAAAAGGACUGACAAUCCCGGGUCCAGGGGAGGGAGGUUGGAAGCUGACUGGACUGAAUUUGACUUAUUAAUUUUUCUUUUUUAUUUUUUAAUAUUGGGAAUGCUUACAAAUGUUUGAAGGAUGUUGAAUGAAAUUACAUGGCUUAAGUAAGGAUUGGUAAAUGAUUCGUAAAAAGGUAAUGAUGCAAGAAUUUGGUAAAUAUUGAAUAUAAGCUAUGAGUUUUAAAGUUUUUAUAUGACAAGAGGGAAAAUAGAAUAAGGAAACGUAAUGACAGAUUGUUAUGAAAAAACAGAAAGGAUUUGCUGUAAAAAUUAAAAAUUAAGAAACAAAAGAGGGGAGGAGGAGGAAGUCUAGAAAGGAAGUCAAUAGAGAUUGUAAAGGACUUUAUAUUUUUGUUUUUCUGUUUCUCUUUUUUUUUUCUUUCUUUGCGGCUGGGUUUUCUUUUCUUUUUUGUUUAUGCACUAUUUUUGUUUUUUGUAUCCUAAAAUAUUUUUUUUGGAAAUUUUUGUUGUUAUUUUUUGAAAAUUCAAUAAAUAUCAAUUAU